rnacentral:rRNA from 1 species
GUCGUCAGCUCGUGUCGUGAGAUGUCGGUUAAGUCCGGCAACGAGCGCAACCCCUGUCUUCAGUUGCCAUCAUUUAGUUGGGCACUCUGGAGAGACUGCCGGUGACAAACCGGAGGAAGGUGGGGACGACGUCAAGUCCUCAUGGCCCUUAUGGUCGGGGCUACACACGAUACUACAAUGGGCACUACAAUGGGCAGCAAGACCGCGAGGUGGAGCAAAUCCCAAAAAAGUGUCCUCAGUUCGGAUUGGAGUCUGCAACUCGACUCCAUGAAGUUGGAAUUGCUAGUAAUCGCUGAUCAGCAUGCAGCGG